rnacentral:rRNA from 1 species
AACGAACGCUGGCGGCAGGCCUAAAACAUGCAAGUCGAACGAAGUCUUCGGACUUAGUGGCGCACGGGUGAGUAACGCGUGGGAAUAUGCCCUUCACUGCGGAAUAACAGUUGGAAACGACUGCUAAUACCGCAUAACAUCUCCGGAUCAAAGAAUUUCGGUGAAGGAUUAGCCCGCGUUAGAUUAGAUAGUUGGUGGGGUAAAAGCCUACCAAGUCGACGAUCUAUAGCUGAUUUGAGAGGAUGAUCAGCCACACUGGUACUGAGACACGGACCAGACUCCUACGGGAGGCAGCAGUUAGGAAUAUUGGACAAUGGGGGCAACCCUGAUCCAGCCAUGCCGCGUGAGUGAAGACGGCCUUAGGGUUGUAAAGCUCUUUCAGAUGUGAGGAUAAUGACAGUAACAUCAGAAGAAGCUCCGGCUAAAUUCGUGCCAGCAGCCGCGGUAA